AUUGAACGCUGGCGGCAGGCCUAACACAUGCAAGUCGAGCGGAGCGGCGGACGGGUGAGUAAUGCCUAGGAAUCUGCCUGGUAGUGGGGGAUAACGUACGGAAACGGGCGCUAAUACCGCAUACUAUCAGAUGAGCCUAGGUCGGAUUAGGUAGUUGGUGGGGUAAAGGCCUACAAGGGCGACGAUCCGUAACUGGUCUGAGAGGAUGAUCAGUCAAACUGGAACUAAGACACGGGCCAGACGCCAACGGAGGGCAACAGUGGGGAAUAUUUGACAAUGGGCGAAAGCCUGAUCCAGCCAUGCCGCGUGUGUGAAGAAGGUCUUCGGAUUGUAAGGCACUUUAAGUUGGGAGGCGUUACCAACAGAAUAAGCACCGGCUAACUACGUGCCAGCAGCCGCGGUAAUUC
rnacentral:rRNA from 1 species